rnacentral:tRNA from 1 species
UAGCUCAGUGGUAGAGCGCUUGCCUAGCAAACGCAAGGCCCUGGGUUCGAUCCCCAG